UGCUUAACACAUGCAAGUCGAACGGGAUGCUUAGGCAUCUAGUGGCGGACGGGUGAGUAACGCGUGAGAAUCUGGCUCCAGGUCGGGGAUAACAGUUGGAAACGACUGCUAAUACCGGAUGUGCCGAGAGGUGAAAGAUUUAUCGCCUGGAGAUGAGCUCGCGUCUGAUUAGCUAGUUGGCGGUGUAAGGGACCACCAAGGCAUCGAUCAGUAGCUGGUCUGAGAGGAUGAUCAGCCACACUGGGACUGAGACACGGCCCAGACUCCUACGGGAGGCAGCAGUGGGGAAUUUUCCGCAAUGGGCGAAAGCCUGACGGAGCAAUACCGCGUGAGGGAGGAAGGCUCUUGGGUCGUAAACCUCUUUUCUCAAGGAAGAAGAAAGUGACGGUACUUGAGGAAUAAGCAUCGGCUAACUCCGUGCCAGUAGCCGCGGUAAUACGGAGGAUGCAAGCGUUAUCCGGAAUGAUUGGGCGUAAAGGGUCUGCAGGUGGAACUGAAAGUCUGCUGUUAAAGAGUUUGGCUUAACCAAAUAAAAGCGGUGGAAACUACAGAACUAGAGUGCGGUAGGGGCAAAAGGAAUUCCUGGUGUAGCGGUGAAAUGCGUAGAUAUCAGGAAGAACACCGGUGGCGAAAGCGUUUUGCUAGACCGUAACUGACACUGAGGGACGAAAGCUAGGGGAGCGAAUGGGAUUAGAUACCCCAGUAGUCCUAGCCGUAAACGAUGGAUACUAGGCGUGGCUUGUAUCGACCCGAGCCGUGCCGGAGCUAACGCGUUAAGUAUCCCGCCUGGGGAGUACGCACGCAAGUGUGAAACUCAAAGGAAUUGACGGGGGCCCGCACAAGCGGUGGAGUAUGUGGUUUAAUUCGAUGCAACGCGAAGAACCUUACCAAGACUUGACAUCCUGCGAAUCCCAGUGAAAGCUGGGAGUGCCUUAGGGAGCGCAGAGACAGGUGGUGCAUGGCUGUCGUCAGCUCGUGUCGUGAGAUGUUGGGUUAAGUCCCGCAACGAGCGCAACCCUCGUUUUUAGUUGCCAGCAUUAAGUUGGGCACUCUAGAGAGACUGCCGGUGACAAACCGGAGGAAGGUGAGGAUGACGUCAAGUCAGCAUGCCCCUUACGUCUUGGGCUACACACGUACUACAAUGCUACGGACAGAGGGCAGCGAGCCAGGGAUGGCAAGCGAAUCCAGAAACCGUAGCUCAGUUCAGAUUGAAGGCUGCAACUCGCCUUCGUGAAGGAGGAAUCGCUAGUAAUUGCAGGUCAGCAUACUGCAGUGAAUUCGUUCCCGGGCCUUGUACACACCGCCCGUCACACCAUGGAAGUUGGUCACGCCCGAAGUCAUUACCCCAACCGAAAGGAGGGGGAUGCCUAAGGUAGGACUGGUGACUGGGGUGAAGUCGUAACAAGGUAGCCGUACCGGAAGGUGUGGCUGGAUCACCUCCUUU
rnacentral:rRNA from 1 species